ACGAGACACGUGAAACCUUGUGGGAAGCAGGGAGGACCACCUCCCAAGGCUAAAUACUACCUGAUGACCGAUAGUGAAGCAGUACCGUGAGGGAAAGGUGAAAAGAACCCCGGGAGGGGAGUGAAAUAGAACCUGAAACCGUGUGCCUACAACCGCUCAGAGCCCCUUAUGAGGGUGAUGAGGUGCUUUUUGUAGAACGAGCCAACGAGUUACGGUAUGUAGCAAGGUUAAGUACUUAAGGUACGGAGCCGAAGGGAAACCGAGUCUGAAUAGGGCGACUAGUUGCAUGCCGUAGACCCGAAACCGGGUGACCUAUCCAUGGCCAGGUUGAAGCGAGGGUAAAACCUCGUGGAGGACCGAACCACGUUGCUGUUGAAAAAGCAUGGGAUGAGCUGUGGAUAGCGGAGAAAUUCCAAUCGAACCCGGAGAUAGCUGGUUCUCUCCGAAAUAGCUUUAGGGCUAGCGUCGAGUAUGAGUAGUGGAGGUAGAGCACUGAAUGGGCUAGGGGGCAUAGCGCUUACCGAACCUUAUCAAACUCCGAAUGCCACAUACUUUGAGCUCGGCAGUCAGACUACGAAUGAUAAGAUCCGUGGUCAAAAGGGAAACAGCCCAGAUCGUCAGCUAAGGUCCCAAAGUGUAAGUUAAGUGGGAAAGGAUGUGAGAUUUCUAAGACAACUAGGAUGUUGGCUUAGAAGCAGCCAUUCAUUAAAAGAGUGCGUAAUAGCUCACUAGUCGAGAGAUCUUGCGCCGAAAAUGUAACGGGGCUAAACUU
rnacentral:rRNA from 1 species